UACGUAGGCAGCGAGCGUUUGUUCGGAGUUACUGGGCGUAAAGGGUGUGUAGGCGGUUGUUUAAGUUUGGUGUGAAAUCUCCCGGCUCAACUGGGAGGGUGCGCCGAAUACUGAAUGACUUGGAGUGCGGGAGAGGAAAGUGGAAUUCCUGGUGUAGCGGUGAAAUGCGUAGAUAUCAGGAGGAACACCAGUGGCGAAGGCGACUACCUGGCCUGUUCUUGACGCUGAGGCGCGAAAAGCUAGGGGGAGCAAACGGG
rnacentral:rRNA from 1 species